rnacentral:misc_RNA from 1 species
AGUUCCAGUUCCCAAAUUCCAACUCAACUGUCCCCCUUCACACUCACUCGCUCCGAUAUCUAUGAGCCAUAGCCUCAUCUUUAAGCGAACCAUUUAAGUCGCUUGUACAGUUUCACUUCACUUCUCUUUAAUCUGAAACAACAACAAAACAAAAUUUCAAACAGUAACCAAAUCUCCCAUCUUUCCAUUUAAUGGCCGAUUGGGGGCCUGUAUUGAUUGGUGUGGUUCUGUUCGUGCUGCUGACGCCGGGACUUCUCUUUCAGAUUCCCGGACACAGCCGCCACCUGGAGUUUGGAAGCAUGAAAACUAACGGCAAGGCUAUUGCUGUUCACACUCUCAUCUUUUUCACUCUCUACGCUAUUCUCAUCUUGGCUGUUCACGUCCACAUCUAUACUGGAUGAUCAUGAAACAAUACUCAACUGGUAAGUCUCUGCGACCACCUUGUUCUGCAUCAUGGAGAUCUGUGCCUGCCAUGCCUUGUCUUUCUUUUUUCU